ACGUAGGGUGCGAGCGUUGUCCGGAAUUACUGGGCGUAAAGAGCUCGUAGGUGGUUUGUCGCGUUGUUCGUGAAAUCUCACGGCUUAACUGUGAGCGUGCGGGCGAUACGGGCAGACUUGAGUACUGCAGGGGAGACUGGAAUUCCUGGUGUAGCGGUGGAAUGCGCAGAUAUCAGGAGGAACACCGGUGGCGAAGGCGGGUCUCUGGGCAGUAACUGACGCUGAGGAGCGAAAGCGUGGGGAGCGAACAGGAUUAGAUACCCUGGUAGUCCACGCCGUAAACGGUGGGUACUAGGUGUGGGUUUCCUUCCUUGGGAUCCGUGCCGUAGCUAACGCAUUAAGUACCCCGCCUGGGGAGUACGGCCGCAAGGCUAAAACUCAAAGAAAUUGACGGGGGCCCGCACAAGCGGCGGAGCAUGUGGAUUAAUUCGAUGCAACGCGAAGAACCUUACCUGGGUUUGACAUGCACAGGACGCCGGCAGAGAUGUCGGUUCCCUUGUGGCCUGUGUGCANGUGGUGCAUGGCUGUCGUCAGCUCGUGUCGUGAGAU
rnacentral:rRNA from 1 species